rnacentral:rRNA from 2 species
GCUGCAUGGCUGUCGUCAGCUCGUGUCGUGAGAUGUUGGUUAAGUCCCGCACGAGCGCAACCCUUGUCAUUAGUUGCUACGAAAGGGCACUCUAAUGAGACUGCCGGUGACAAACCGGAGGAAGGUGGGGAUGACGUCAAGUCCUCAUGGCCCUUAUGGGUAGGGCUUCACACGUCAUACAAUGGUCGGGACAGAGGGUCGCCAACCCGCGAGGGGGGAGCCAAUCCCAGAAACCCGAUCGUAGUCCGGAUUGCAGGCUGCAACUCGCCUGCAUGAAGUCGGAAUCGCUAGUAAUCGCGGAUCAGCAUGUCGCGGUGAAUACGUUCCCGGGUCUU